UUGAUGAUGGCCACACCCUCUGUGACGGCGAUGCUGACACAGCCGAGGGUUAUUGCUGGAUCGUGGGAUCUUCUGUGUUGCAAGCAGGAGGCGCCAGCCGAUAUGAGAUAUCA
rnacentral:ribozyme from 1 species